UUACGGCCACAUCGCGUUGAGACAUUGAUUCCCGUACGAUCACCAAAGUUAAGCAACGUCAAGCCUGCUCAGUACCUAGAUGAGUGGCCGCUUGGGAAUACCAAGUGCCGUAA